GGGGCCAUAGCUCAGCUGGGAGAGCGCUUCGCUGGCAGCGAAGAGGUCAGGGGUUUGAAUCCCCUUGGCUCCACCA
rnacentral:tRNA from 1 species